rnacentral:rRNA from 1 species
UACAGAGGGUGCGAGCGUUGUUCGGAAUCAUUGGGCGUAAAGCGCUUGUAGGCGGCCUGCCAAGUCGCGUGUGAAAUCCCCUGGCUCAACCAGGGAAGUGCGCGCGAAACUGGCGGGCUUGGAGUGCCGGAGAGGGUCGCGGAAUUCCCGGUGUAGAGGUGAAAUUCGUAGAUAUCGUAAGGAAGACCAGUGGCGAAGGCGGGUCUCUGGACAGUUCCUGACGCUGAAGCACGAAGGCCAGGGGAGCAAACGGG